GCACGCGCCAGCGUGUGUGUUAGAGAGAGAGUUCACGCGCUCGCAGUUAAACCUGACAACGCGCUACUUUCCAUACAAUUGUGAAUAAUGAAGAUAUUAUUAAGAAUAACUGUAUGAUUGGUGUCUUUUAAAGUAACGUUAAUAUGACAUAACUCUGAAAUGAAAGAGCGUCUCUCAAACGGAGCGGAUUGGCUCACUUAGCAAUGACGUCACACGGAUGUAACGGCAUUUAGGUGUUUAACGGCGCUGAUGAGCGGACUGUAGAUAUAUUUAUAUACAUAUUAAACAACGGAAAAUCGUCUGUGUGAAAUGUGAUACAUUUAACGGAAAAGACAAAUUUCUAAAAGACCAAUUUUUAUUACAAUUUAAUUGGUUUCAUGAGUGAAAACGCCUGCUAUUGUUUUUAGUAUUAUAACCCUCAGAAAAACGAACUGUUCCCUCAGACGGUUUGUUAAUAUAAUUACUUAUUAUAAUUACAUAUUAUUACUUUCUUUCUUCAUAGUUCUAAAUGUCAUUUACUUUUGUUAUCGGUCCAUACUUUAAAAAAGUGAUUUAACUAAAUUGGUUAAGUAAAAAGUAAUUUACCUCAGGAAAACGCACUGCUGGGGAUGUCACUCAAAGGGGAGUCAGGCUGUGCGCGCGGUGGGCACGGACCCCGGCUUAUAUAAGCCGGCUGACCGGUUUCGCGGGCUUGGCACGCGAGAAAGAAUUUAAGUUUUAAGAAAAAAAAAUAUUUUCAUUUUUUUUUUAUUUAUUUUUUUUUAUGUACAAUGAUAUAAUGACACACUGCGUUAACUUGGCAUUAAACGUAGAAAACAAAACAAAAAAAACCCUUGGUUUUCAAAAAGUGUUUGUGUUUUCCUACUAUAUUCAAAGCAAUGGUGUUACCAAAAAUAUAAGUCAUAUAAUUUUUUUUUUGUUUUGAAUUGCUUCUUUCUUUGAAUUGCUUCUAGAGUUCCUCUUUGUUUAAUAUAAUUGAGCAACCCCAUAGGUGGCGAUGUACGCGCGCGAGUCGCCAAUAAGCCAAUGGAUGAAGAAGUCGUCAGUCAGGGCAAGUUGUAGUGGAGUGAUGGUUGAGAGUGCAAUUUAUUCUGCUUACCUGACUCCUGCAGACUUCUGUCCUGAUGUCUGGCUGUGGUCCCUCCAUCAUCCACUCUUUGGCAACAGGUCUAUUUAUGGAGACCACCAUGAUCUAAUCUAUACAGAUCUAGUUGUCUCUUCUCCCACAAACUCCUCUUUCAGGGUCCGGUGACAACUAGGGGGUGUCGACAAACUUCCAUUGAGGACCAUUAGACCACUCAAGAAGAAUUACCUCAUAUAACCAAGAUUUAAUGUUGUAAAGCAGAUUUUGAGCGGAUCUCCUUCAUUCUGCCGCCAGCUCACCACAACCCCUGGGUGCACCAGCUGUGGAUAUUACAGGCCAAACUUUGGUUUUCACAUUGUUUGGAGGACGAAAUCGGGCAGGAUGCAGGGGCCCACAGUUUGGGCACACAUACACAGGGCAGCUUUGGACACCCUGGGACAACAUGCUAAGAAGCACAGAUCUACCGAUAGCCCUCCAUCAUUCCCACAUCCAUCUUGCAACAAAGUUUCAUUAAGUGCAGUCCAUAACCAGUGUCUGCCAUACACGGUCUGCACCUUGUCCAUUGCAGAUGUUAUGGAUUAUUUUAUUAGAGAUCUUUCUAUUUUUUUUGAGACUGUUACUAUGUAGUCUGUUAUGUUGUGAAUAAAGUCAAACCCCCCCUCA